rnacentral:rRNA from 1 species
GACGAACGCUGGCGGCGUGCUUAACACAUGCAAGUCGAGCGGUAAGGCCCUUUCGGGGGUACACGAGCGGCGAACGGGUGAGUAACACGUGGGUGACCUGCCCUCAGCUCUGGGAUAAGCCUGGGAAACCGGGUCUAAUACUGGAUAUGACUCCAUGACGCAUGUUGUGGGGUGGAAAGCCUUGUGCGGCUGAGGAUGGGCCCGCGGCCUAUCAGCUUGUUGUGGGGUGANGGCCUACCAAGGCGACGACGGGUAGCCGGCCUGAGAGGCGACCGGCCACACUGGGACUGAGACACGGCCCAGACUCCUACGGGAGGCAGCAGUGGGGAAUCUUGCGCAAUGGGCGAAAGCCCUGACGCAGCGACGCCGCGUGAGGGAUGACGGCC